CAGCAGCCGCGGUAAUACGGAGGGGGCUAGCGUUGUUCGGAAUUACUGGGCGUAAAGCGCACGUAGGCGGAUCGAUCAGUCAGGGGUGAAAUCCCAGAGCUCAACUCUGGAACUGCCUUUGAUACUGUCGAUCUGGAGUAUGGAAGAGGUGAGUGGAAUUCCGAGUGUAGAGGUGAAAUUCGUAGAUAUUCGGAGGAACACCAGUGGCGAAGGCGGCUCACUGGUCCAUUACUGACGCUGAGGUGCGAAAGCGUGGGGAGCAAACAGGAUUAGAUACCCCCGUAGUCCCUGUCUCUUAUAC
rnacentral:rRNA from 1 species